rnacentral:rRNA from 1 species
UACGUAGGGUGCGAGCGUUAAUCGGAAUUACUGGGCGUAAAGCGCGCGCAGGCGGUCUUCCAAGUCAGUGGUGAAAGCCCGGAGCUCAACUCCGGAACUGCCAUUGAAACUGUAAGACUUGAGGAUGAGAGAGGUGAGUGGAAUUCCUAGUGUAGAGGUGAAAUUCGUAGAUAUUAGGAAGAACACCAGUGGCGAAGGCGGCUCACUGGCCCGGUACUGACGCUGAGGCACGAAAGCGUGGGGAGCAAACAGG